rnacentral:lncRNA from 1 species
GCCGCCGCCUCGGCCUUUCGCUGGGGCCGCGGGCGCCUCCGCGGAACCGGGCCUCGGGGGCAGUUUUUGCAGCCGCAGAAGUUCCCCCCCUCGGUCGGCAGAAGCCCCCAGCCCUGCGAGGUCCGCGGGCGGGACCGAGCGCUCCUCCGCCGGCUCUCACCGCCCAGCCGGCUCCUCCAUCGUGCCCCCUUGGCCGUGGCUUGCCCCCGUCUGGGAAGCCGCUGUGGAAAAAAAGGCGAGCAGGGGAAAAGAUUUUGAAAGGGACUGGAAAGAAAUUGGUGGAAAUGGAAGCUUAUCGAUGCCUAUGUCCAGAGCCUUCCACAAAUGAGAUGAGACGUUUUACCUGUGAAACCUGUAUGUGAUAAAGGAAGAGAACUAAUCAUACGACAAAUGACAUGGCACCAGCCUUUUUUUCCACUGGAGAUUUCAGUACUCUGCAGGUGACCAACCGCUUCAUGAUCUGGGGACAUCUUAGAGUGACAGCCAAAGGAAGUCAAGAACUGGUUUUUGCAUGCACGGGGAUGACAACCACAACCACAAAGAGGUGAAGAGGACUUGGGUCCUAACUUGAGGCAGGGAAAAUGGACUAGAGGAGCCUCCAAGAAAGCCUUUCAGUUCCUGUGGGGUUUGGGCCCUUGACUCCAGGCAGGUAGAAAUGGAGAGGGGGUUUGUGAGCAGCGCUGCAUCCUGAUGGCUCAGGCACCUGGGACAGGAUUCAGUGACCAGGAAACA